CCUGCGGAAGGAUCAUUAAAGAGUAAGGGUGCUCAGCGCCCGACCUCCAACCCUUUGUUGUUAAAACUACCUUGUUGCUUUGGCGGGACCGCUCGGUCUCGAGCCGCUGGGGAUUCGUCCCAGGCGAGCGCCCGCCAGAGUUAAACCAAACUCUUGUUAUUUAACCGGUCGUCUGAGUUAAAAUUUUGAAUAAAUCAAAACUUUCAACAACGGAUCUCUUGGUUCUCGCAUCGAUGAAGAACGCAGCGAAAUGCGAUAAGUAAUGUGAAUUGCAGAAUUCAGUGAAUCAUCGAAUCUUUGAACGCACAUUGCGCCCCUUGGUAUUCCGAGGGGCAUGCCUGUUCGAGCGUCAUUACACCACUCAAGCUAUGCUUGGUAUUGGGCGUCGUCCUUAGUUGGGCGCGCCUUAAAGACCUCGGCGAGGCCACUCCGGCUUUAGGCGUAGUAGAAUUUAUUCGAACGUCUGUCAAAGGAGAGGAACUCUGCCGACUGAAACCUUUAUUUUUCUAGGUUGACCUCGGAUCAGGUAGGGAUACCCGCUGAACUUAA
rnacentral:misc_RNA from 1 species